CUACGGGCUGCUGCAGUGAGGAAUAUUGCACAAUGGGGGGAACCCUGAUGCAGCAACGCUGCGUGGAGGAUGACGCAUUUCGGUGUGUAAACUCCUUUUAUAUGUCAAGAAAAUGACGGUAGCAUAUGAAUAAGCACCGGCUAACUCCGUGCCAGCAGCCGCGGUAAUACGGAGGGUGCAAGCGUUACUCGGAAUCACUGGGCGUAAAGGACGCGUAGGCGGGUUGGAAAGUCAGGUGUGAAAUCCUACAGCUUAACUGUAGAACUGCACUUGAAACUUCUAAUCUAGAGUAUGGGAGGGGGAGAUGGAAUUAGUGGUGUAGGGGUAAAAUCCGUAGAUAUCACUAGGAGUACCUAAAGCGAAGGCGAUCUCCUGGAACAUUACUGACGCUAAGGCGUGAAAGCGUGGGGAGCAAACAGGAUUAGAUACCCGAGUAGUC
rnacentral:rRNA from 1 species